rnacentral:rRNA from 1 species
GACGAACGCUGGCGGCGUGCUUAACACAUGCAAGUCGAACGGGCCUGUCUUCUUUUUUGGGGGUGGGUUGAGUGGCGAACGGGUGAGUAUCACGUGAGUAACCUGCCCUUCGGUCCUGGAUAACCGCUUGAAAGGGCGGCUAAUACGGGGUGGUCCGGUUGGUCCGCAUGGGCUGGUCGGGAUAGAUUCACUGUUUUUGGUGUUUCGGCGGGGGAUGGGCUCGCGGCCUAUCAGCUUGUUGGUGGGGUGAUGGCCUACCAAGGCGGUGACGGGUAGCCGGCCUGAGAGGGUGGGCGGCCACACUGGGACUGAGAUACGGCCCAGACUCCUGCGGGAGGCAGCAGUGGGGGGUAUGGCACAAUGGGCGGAAGCCUGAUGCAGCGACGUCGCGUGAGGGAUGGAGGCCUUCGGGUUGUGAACCUCUGUUUCCGGUGGUGAAGGCCCUGUCCGUGUGGUGGGGUUGACGGUAGCCGGGGAUGAAGCGCCGGCUAACUACGUG